UUUUUGAAUAUUUUAAAUAUUAAAAAAUUCAAACAUGUUUAUUAAUAUUAUUUUUAAAUUAUUUAUCGUUGUUUAAAGAAUAAAUUUAUCAUAAUUUUAAAAUAAUUUACAGAAUGUUAUAAAUUAUUAAUAAAAUUAAAUUUACUAUAUAUUGAAUAUUUGUUUAUUGUUAAAUAUUUUUUAGAAUUUCUUUUUGAUUUAUAUUUUCCAUCGACACUACUAAAAAGGAAAGCCCUCUAAAUACUUACCUUAUUUUGUAAUUUCGAUAUAUCAUUUAAUUCAUCGAUCCCACUAUAAUAGGAAAGUACCAUUGAAUACUAAUUGCAAGGGAAAACAUAAUUUAAUGACCAAUUAACAUCACUUUCCAAAUGACUUACAUAAUAUUAUUAAUAACUAUUUAUGGUAACUAAUUGUCGAAAGUAUAGUAUAUAAAUCCAUUUUAUUAAUUCAAAUAAAUAUUUUGGAUUCCAAAUGACUUACAUAAUAUUAUUAAUAACUAUUUAUAGUAAUUAAUUGUCGAAAGUAUGGUAUAUAAAGUCAUUUUAUCAAUUCAAGUAAAUAUUUUGGUUUAUUAUUUUAUGUAGUCUAUAGAUAUAUUAGAAUAUAAAGUCAUUUUAUCAAAUCAAAUAAUUUAUUUUAGUUCAUCGAUCCCCUAUAAAAGGAAAGUAACAUUGAAAACUGAUUGAAAAGGAAAAAAUAAUUUAAUCUCUCUAUUAACAUUACUUGCGCAACAAUAUUAGUUAAUACAUGUAAUAAUUAGUUUCCUUAUUACAAAUGGAAAGAAUUCUCUUGAUUUUGUUGAUUGAAUUUCUUUUUCGAUUUAUUUUAAUCAUCGACACUACUAAAAAUGAAAUCACUUUAAUACUUAACUUUUUUGUUUUUUCGAUUCAAAGAACAUCUUUUUGCGAUCAUUUCUCUGUUUAAUUCAUUAAAUACUCACUAAAUAUUUUAGAUGUUAGAGAAAUGAAAUUAAUUGACAAGAUAUUUUCUCUCCUAAAAUCAUGCAUUUAAAACUUAAUAUUUAUGGUGAGACUUGUCAACCAAAAUUCUGGUGCAAUCUAUUCACGAGAUGUUCUCCUUUAGCUUUAUUAACAAGAUAUUCCAAAAAUAAUCUAUUCUAUUAAAAGGGAAGAAGUUUUAAAAAAUCUACCUAUGAAAAGUUGUUGGACCCUUUCAUUAGCUUAAACUAUUUUUUUGGUCUCACCUUUUAUUUCUCUAACUAUGCAAUAGUCAAUUAUCUUAUAUUUUUCUAACUAUGCAAUAAUCAAUUACCUUAUAUUUCUCCAAUUUAGUUUAACAAUAUAUUCUAAAAAUAUAUAUAUUCUAAAUAUAUUGUUAUGAUGAUUUUUGAUAAGAAUAUAUUAUAGAUGCGAUUGAAAAUUUUUAUUAUUAAAGAUUUUUUUUUUAAAAAAUUUAUAAAAGAAUUUAUAACAUCUAUAUAAAACUCUUUAUUUUUUAUCCUACCAUUAACUACAAUAACUAUAAAUAAUUCAAAUAAAUCCUAUUAUUAUUUCUCAUUUGGUAUGAUACACUUCUUUAAUUAUUUUUCUUAUUAUCAUCCAAUGUUAUUGUUGUUAUUAAUAACGUUAUAUACAUCAUAUAUUAUGCUCAAAGAUGGAUAUAUAAUAUUUAGAUAUCAAUUAUUAAAACGAAAGCAUAUAUCAUACAACAUAUUAUAUCAUGUCAUCUAACAUUAUAUAAUUCUAAAUAUUUACAAAAUCAAAUUUAAUAAAAAAAUACUUUAGCAAAUCAUUUGUCAAAACAAAAUUAUAUAUAUUUACGUUAAAUUAUUUUUUAUUACAUUAAUAUAUUAGAAGUUUCAUUCAUCUCUUAAAAUAUUAUUGAAGAUUAUUUUUUUCCUACCAUGUAAACCAAAUGUCGGGUCACACUUGAUUGCGGGUUUUUUCGAAGUUUGCAUGCUUUAAAUUAACGAGUUUUCAUUAAAUCUAAACCAGCUUAUGUACAAGUCAUCGUGUUUACUGGUUCGACGACGGGUCCAAACUUAAUAUAAAAGUACUGUUCUCAUCUAAUUGAAAAUAAUUUAUUUUAAAAUAAUAGACGCACUGAAUCUGAUCAAUCCAUAUAAUUUUUUUUUGAAAAAAGUAAUCUUUUUUUUUUUUUUUUUUUUUGACAGCAAAAAGAUUACAGACUCAUAUAGACCCUGUAAACCAAAGUGGUAACUCUGAAUCCAUGUGUACGACGAAAGACGGUUGUUGCCGAGCACUACGUGCCAAACUAUCCGCCCUUGUAUUCUCCGUCCUAGGUACAUGAACAAUAUCUGAGUUGACGAAACUUCUUCUCAACAGCUUAAUAUCUUCCAGGUAGCUUUCAAAUGCUGGCCAUUCUUCUGGUUCUGAAACCAUCUUCACCAAUUGAGAACAAUCCGUUGCAAACGUAACCUGAAACUGUCUUAAGUUUCUCAUGCAUUCCAUUGCCCAAAUUAAUGCCUCCAUCUCCGAAUGAAGCGGUGAAAGACAAGCCCUUACAUUCCUUGCUCCUAGUAAACCAUCAAACCCUGAUAAUGUACUGAGCCAACCUUGUCCUGAAAAUAGGUCGUUAUCUUUCCAAGAACCAUCUGUGAAACACCAUCUUCCUGUGGUUCCUACGUUAGGCCUAACUUGUACUUCUUGUGCACACCUGUUGUUACUAACCUGUGCCUCAGCCCAAAGUGUUGAUUCUAGUUCUGCUAAUCGAAGUGUUUCCCUGGGAUCAAUAUCAAGAUUACUGAAUACUUUAUUGUUUCGACCCUUCCAAAUGUACCAUAGUAUCCAUGCAAACUGAUGAUCCUCCAUCUUUGGAUUAACUCUCCAAAAUAGAUGGUCCAUAUUAGCAAAAAGAGAGCCAAUAGGAAAAAUAUUCGGAUUUGAUGGAAUUUUAGAUAGUGCCCAGACUUGACGAGCUGGGGGACAUUCAAAAAACACAUGGUUUAUUGAUUCUUCAGGAUCACCACACCGUGCACAGCACGUAUCUCCUUGUAUUCCUCUUGCCCUUAGAUUUUUCGUUACCGCCAUACAUCCUGAUAUCAACUGCCAUAAAAAAUGUUAAAGCAUUUUUUGAAAAAAGUAAUCAAACGAUUAAAAAUAUAAUUACAUAAUAAUAAUUUUUUUUGACAUAAUAAAAUUUUGUAACAUAAUAAUGUAUAACAAGACUAAAAUACUAAUUCAUAUCAUAUAUCUUUAUCAACUGAAAAAUAACCCGCGCUUUUAAGCGCGGGUCAAAAUCUAGUAUUACCUUAUAAGUAUAAGAUUUAUUGAGAAUUUAUUAAAGAAUAUUCUAUUUCUUAGCUUAUCAUGCAAGCUAAAUCAAUGAGAAACGUCUACCAAUUUACUAUAAAUAAGACAUUCACAGUAGAAGAAACGAAAUAAUUGAACUUUGUAUUUUUGUAUUCUGAACUUUUAAUGUUAAUAAUGUUCUAAACUUUUUUUCUUCUUAUUUUAGAACAUUAAGCUUUUAUAUUUCAUGAGAGCUGAUUUUUCUUUUGGUUUAUAUGCAGAUACCCUAUUAUGACAAUUUCUCCACUGAAGCUAUAUAUGAUUUGAUUGUACACCUCUUUGAUAUAUCAUUUCGAUAACAUCUUUGUUCCUCAAUCUGGUAAAAAAUUUUUACUCAAUUUGAUAACAUCUCUCAGCUAAAUCAUUUCAAUAGCAUCUUUUUGUGCUGCGAAUAUUUUUCUUUUUUUGAUUUGUAGAUUUAUAUUAUUGUUUAGAAUUAUAAGCUUAUAUAUACACAUAUUUGUUUUUUGGUUUGCUGAUUGUGAUUUUUUUUUUCAGAGAUGAUUUGAGAGAAGUGGUCAUAUUUCAGACCUCUAAGAGUUCACCAUUCCGAUCCUGCAAAAGAUGUGCACUUAGAAUGGUAUUUUCUCUACUGUACAUCAAAAUUGGAUAAUCAAUUAUAUUUUUAAAAUAUCUAUAGUAGGAUGGUAUUUUCUCUACUGAAAUAAUAUCUUAUUUCCUAAUCUCAUGCUUUAAUAUUUAAACUUUAAGGACAAGAUUUGUUAAUUAAAUCAUUAGUGUAAACUACUCCCGGGAUAUUCUCUUUUUUAUAUUUAAAAUGUAAUUUUAGUAACAAUAUAUUCCAUAAAUAAUCCUAACUUAUAGGUAGAUACAUUUUUAAAAUUAAUUUGAGAACAUUCUAUUACAUAGCUUAUUGUGAAAGCUAAAUAUUUUAGUAAACUCUAGCAUUUUACUUAUCUUUUGUGUUUUCUCGAUUCAAAUAACAUCUUUUUGAGAUCAUUUCUCUGUUUAGUUCAUUAAAUACUCACUAAAUAUUUUAGAUGUCAGAGAAACAAAAUUAUUUGACAAGAUAUUUUCUCUCCUAAAAUCAUGCAUUUAAAACUUAAUAUUUAUGGUGAGACUUGUCAACCAAAAUUUUGGUGCAAUCUAUUCACGAGAUGUUCUCAUUUAGCUUUAUUAACAAGAUAUUCCAAAAAUAAUAUUACCUUAUAAGUAUAAGAUUUAUUGAGAAUUUAAUAAAGAAUAUUCUACUUCUUAGCUUAUCAUGUUUUUAUCAAAAGAAAACGUCAGUAGAUCAAAUUAAUUUUUACAUGUUCUUUCAGGCUUGAGUUUAUCAGAAGAUCAAAUUAAGAGUUUAUCUUUGGCGGAGAUUGAAUCAAUCAUGCGUUUGAACGGAAGCUCAUUUACAUUGUUUAAGUUUUGAAACGUGUUAUCAAUAGUAUACUCUUCUAUUGGUUAAGAUGUGGCUUUUGUUAGAUUUUCUAUUAAUUAAUUUUUUUUGUUUUACUUUUGUGGAAUUCGCGAUAUUGUAAUGUUGUAAAUAAAUACUAAAGACAUUUUUCUCACUAUUAAUAGGUGAGAGAGAGGGAGGGAGAGAGAGGGAGGGAGAGGGAGGGACGGAGAGAGAGAGAGGGAGGGAGGAGGGAGGAUGAGAGGGGAGAGAGAGUGGGAGAGAGGGAGAGAGAGGAUAUGUUUAUGUCCGCACAGGGUGCGGGGCCGGCCACCUAGUAAAGAUUAAUUCUCAAAUGUACUUCAGUUUUAAUAGAUUAGAUUACUAAAACAGAACGGUUCCUAAUAUGAUUCACUCUGCAAGCAAUGAUUCACUGCAUUUGGCAGGAACGAAACUAAAGACGCAAUGGAAAAAAACCAAUGGAAUCGUAACGUUUGAUUAAAACUGUGGUCCGUGGAUAAUAGUUAGCAACAAGAACGUGAUCUAAUUUUUACCACAAAAAAAAAGAACAUGAUCUAAAUAUAUUUUUUUGAACUAAGAACGUGAUCUAAAUAUUACAGAAGAUUAUGCAAAUAAGUUCAAAAAAAAAAAAAUCAAGAACGUGAUGGAAGGAAAGGAUUUGAAACAGGAACGUGAUCUAGAGAAUUUUUUUAUUCUUUAUUUUCCAAACAACAUUAGACGAGAUCUACAAGCAUCUGAUGUACAAAAGUAUUCGAUUAAAAAUAGUCACUAGAAAAAUUAACGCUAAAAUUGUUGUUAAGAGAAGAUGUACAGUAUUACUAUUAGGAAAAAAAUUCAUGUAUUAUUUGAAUUUCGUAUUCUUGAAAUACAAAUAAAAAAUAACUGAAAUUUCUUAGCGGUAAAAAAAUUAAACUUGUUAACUUUGUCGUCGGCUUAUUGUAUAUUAGUCUAUAAGUAACUGUGUAUCCCUAAUUUUAAUUAUCUUGAUCUAACUCGGUAAAUGAACCAUCUUUAUACCUUUAAAUCUUUUAUACAGUAAUAAAAUCUAAAAUUAAAUCAUUCUAAGUUGAUGUCUAAUGGAACGAUUUUAAAUAUAUAUAUAUAUAUAUAUAUAUAUAUAUUUAUAUAUAUAUAUAUUAUCUAUAAAAUAAACAAAUUUAAAAGCUUCUAAAACUGUCCACAUAGGAUAAAAUAUUCACAAUCAAUGAAACUGACACGUCAGCUCUUAAGUGAAUAAAGCAAAAUCAAUAUAUACACAACGUUGACAGUAUUUAGAGUCUGAACAGAGUAAAAGAAAAAGACGGAAAGACACCUAGACGUGCAAACUUUGCUAAGUUUGCUAUUCAAUAUUUUAGAACUAAUUGUAUAUUGAUUCACUUUUUAAAUAAUGAACUGCCUAUUAGUUCAAAUUUGUGAACAAAACUCAUGAAACACUAACUACAGUAGCUACUCAGCUAGACGUGAGUGUUUCUAGUGGUUCUUUUCUUCAUUCUUUUUUAAAUAAAUUAAUUUUUGUUUAAAUAAUAUUAAUACGUGCUAAUUUUAAAUUAAAAAUUAUUUUAGUCAUAUAAACAUCUACAAAAAUUCAAACUUAAACAAAAUAAGAAUUACAUAAUAUAUAAAUUAUUCAAAAUCAAGUUUUAAUUCUAGUUGAUGUAUCAUAUAUAUAUAAUAUUUGACUUAAAGCUUUAUUUUCUUAACAAUAAAUCAUUAUUUUUUUCAAAAAAAAACAUUAUACUACUUUACCUAAAACUAUAAGUAUUUCUAAAUAAUCCAAAGUAUAUAUUAUAAUUUUAAAGCUUUAAUAAUUAUAUAUGUAAACUUGAAAGUAUAUUUCUAUUUUAUUUUAAAUUAAAAUCUAUACUUAUUGAAUUUAUAAAUCAUUUAAUGUUAUUUAUGAAAGUAAGUAGUUAUAAAACAUUAUAUAAAUUAUUUCAAAUUUGCACAGGUUUUUAGAGCGCUUUUUAUCCAUUUUUACCAUUCAAACAUUAGUUUGGAACCGCUAAAUACGCUUCAUCAACUCAAUCCGCUUCAUCCACUCUUGUUCCGAUCGAUCCGCUAGAUCCGCAAUGCUUGAUUCGCUUUUUCCUUUCGGAGCCUUAGUGUAAUUAUUGUUUUCUUAACAGAUGCACUAUUAUCGGCCCAAAAAUUUACACAUAAACAUUUCUUCGUUCCUUCAUCUUCUACAUUGUUUAAACCAAUGUUUCACCAGAAUCAGUAACCAACGUUUUAAAAUAAUCCAAACGUACACGGAAGUCUUCUGUAAUAACCAAGCUUUGACCAGAAUCUCGGAAUAAAAUCCUGGAAGACUUCUGUGUAAGUCGUUUAUUUGAAGACAUACAUGGAAAUCGUCCGGAUAAAAUAAAGUAUUUUUUUUACUUUUUCAAAUGCAAAAGUAACCUGAUACGACUUACAUGGACGUCGUCUAAACGAUAAAUAUUUAAGUUUUAUUUUUGUGUUGGACGACUUCCCUGUAAGUCGUCUAGGAAAAGUCAAAUUUCUGACACAAUCCGGUCAAAUGCAAAACUAACAUGUUUAUCCUUGAUGACUUACCGAGAAGUCUCCUUUGGUAUUUUCAAGAUUUUUUAAAAAUAUUUUUUUUUAUUUUUUUCAAAUGCAAAAGUAACAUGAAACGACUUAUAUGAAAGUCGUCUAAAAAUUAAAUAUUUAAGUUUUAUUUUUGUGUUGGACGACUUCCCUCUAAGUCGUCUAAAAAUUAAAUAUUUAAGUUUUAUUUUUGUGUUGGACGACUUCCCUCUAAGUCGUCUAGGAAAAGCCAAAUUUCUGAUACAAUCCGGUCAAAUGCAGAACUAACAUGUUUAUCCUAGAUGACUUACCGAGAAGUCUCCUCUAGUAUUUUCAAUUAUUUUUUAAAAAACAAAGAAAAUCGAAAGACUUCAAAAAAAAUCAUCUCUAAAAGAUACAUAUAAAUUCAAUUGCAAAACUAACUUAUGCAUUGACUAGAAGAAUUACAUGGAAGUCUUCUGACCGACAGAUCUGGAAAAAAAUUGAUUUCAUAACUUCAACCAGUGAGAUAUCUUGUUUAGCUUCUUCAACCACACAAAAAUUCACCAUCAAAGCGACCCACUUGUUAAUGACCAAGAAUCAUAAACUUGAAUGGCUCUAUCAACCUUAAAAAUUUUAUAAUCAAAAUCUUAAACUCAUCCUUUUGUUUGGUUUAUUUCACCCGAUAAACUAAACUUACCCAUCCAACUAAAUUUACUGUUAUGGAAUCCUGGUUUAUAUAUACAUAUGAAAAUCUCUUAUUAGUACGAUCAAAGAAACCAAAUUUCUCUGCUUAGGAUGAUGAAUAGAAAAAUGGUUAAACGGUUAAAAUAAAAUCAUGGUUUCAUAAACAUAGCAAAAUUCUUACCAAUUUAGGCAGGCAAAACGAAGCUUUAAUAAAACAAAUUUUCAGAAGUUCACAAUUUUGUGACUAUAUACAUGUGAUGAAUUAAAAUAUUUUUGAGAUAAUUAUUGAGCAUCAAAAUAAAUAAAUAAAAACCAUGUUGAUCUCAAGAAACAACCUGAUAAUAUAUAAAUGGAAAAAACUUACUUUAAUUAACCAUGUACCAUAUAUUUUAGAAAUAUUUCCUCUAGGAGACACAAUUCAAGUUUCCAAUUACCUAAAAAGACACUUUGAGCUCUGUGAACACUUCUUCUUAGUGAAUUGUUUUAUCUAGCCCUCAACUAUGUGAACUCUCUCCUUUCUUUGAAUCAUUAACUAGAUGGAACCUUUUAACUAGAACCACUUUAAUAUUUUUAAAACAAUAAAACUAAUUCCUUUUUUUUCUUUAUUAAAAACGUCUUUACCUAUUCCCUUCCUAAAUUUCUAGAUCUUGUAAUAUCUCAGAAAACAAAUCAUAAUCCUCUUUCUCUCUGUCUCAGAUUUCUCGAUCCAGGAAUUGUAGUGUCCGUAAUCACGCCGCUUUGCUUCGGUUUCAAUCUCCGACAUGGAAGAGAACAGAGAAGACCAUGUCUCCCCGAGAGACUUUUCGCAACAGAUCGGUUCUCUUGUCGCCGUCUGAAUAUUACUCAAGACCUAGCACACUUGCUUUCAUCCGCCAUCGUCUUUGUGGUUCUCCAGAAUUUGUGUACAAGAUAGUUAUGGACAAGAUACUUGUGGUCAAGAGAAUUGUGGUUAAGAGAAUUGUGUUAUAGAAGAGAGAAUUGUGGAUAAGAUAGUUAUGGACAAGAUACUUGUGGUCAAGAUAAUUGUUUUAUAAAGAAGCCAUGCAAUUCAAACCUCGUACUCACAAACAUGUAUACAUGAUCCGUCCAUAAGUAUACAUCCACAAGAGUUUGUCCACGUGGUUACUAUCAGCUUACGUAAUGUUUUGACAUUUUUUGUUGUUUCUAGCUUAACUAACUGUAAAAUUAUUUAAAGAUGGAGACAAUAUAUACUAAUUUUUUUGAAUUGAAUAGUCUCUUGAAUCUUUAUUUCUCAAUAUGUGGGAGGGAAGAUGAAGAUUGAACAUGUAUUCAUAAUCCAUCCACAAUCGUCCGUCCACAAGAACUUGUGUGCUUUUUAUAGUAAAUGUUAUUGAACUUGUAUUUUUGCAUAAUCAUUUGAAUAACACCAUCCAUUGUACUUCAUAUAUUCUACCUAGCUCAUCCACUAAGUUCACAAAUCGCAUGUACACAUCUAUUUUUAAGGCGCAUCCACGUAUCUACAUCCACGCUUCGCUUGUUCUCACUUGUCUUUAUGCUCGAACUAGCCAAAAAUCUCAAAAAUCGUAAGAAAAUCUGAAAACUCAAACUUGAACGAGUUUCCAUCUAUAAAUUUUCAAAUCUAUAUCUCUUGAGUUCAUGUUUUUAUGUCUGUUUCUCUGUCCACGUCUUCUCCAUCCAUGUGUUUUCAUUUAAGUCUUUCUUAUCUAUAUGUUUCCGUAAGAAAAUUAAAAUAUAAAAAUUAUAUAUUAAAAUGGAUGUUAAAAUGUAGAAAAUAAGAAGUUAUAAUUUAUGGUACUAAAUAAAGUUGAUUUAUAUAUCUUUAACUUUUGAAAAUAAGCAAAUUAAAUACAAAUGAAGGUGAAUGAAGAAUAAUAAUUAUAUAAAAAGUUUUAUUUCUUUUUCUCUCUCUAACUAAGAACCAUUCCAUUAAAAUUUUAGUUGGUUUACGGUUGAUUCUUUAGAAACAAUAUCCUUCUACUUACACAAAAGCAAGGUUAUUUUUGUCUACAAAAAAACAGCUGUCUAUACAAAGUACACACAAAGUGUGUCAAAGACACAAUGUGUCCUUAAAUGAAAAGAGAAGACAGAAAGUGUCUUUCUGUGUAAGUCUCUCUAUAUUUUAAAGACUAAUAAUUCAUCAAUUCUUUUUUAACAAUAUCAACAAGAUUUUACUUUGACACCUCCACUGUAAUUAUUUGAAGCUUAAGAAAAAAAAUCACAAAGCUGCUUUCGUCGUCUUUAGGAUGUUAAUCAGGCUACUUAUCCUUUAGUUUUGUAGAGUGUGGGCUUAUAUAAUAACAAAACUAAAAUUUAGAAAUUUAUAUUCCUAACUUAGAGCAAAAAGAAAACGACAAAUUAUGCAGACCUAAACAAAAAACUGCAGUGUUUUGAAAUCUGAUUCGGAAACUGAACCGGACAACUUUCCCGGUUACCUGGUUAUUAGGUCGACCGCUAGUGAACUGCAAAUUAAUAAAUCAAUUAAUUUUAUUAUAUAAUAUAUUAGCUAUAAAAAUAUAAUAGAUAUUUUAUGUUUUAAAAAAGUCGCUUAGAAAAUACUUAACUUUAGUUUUUUAUAUUUUUACUUUCAUUUUACAUAAAAUAUUAAAAAUAGUUUAGAGUAUUUAACAAUUUUUAUAGCAAUUUAAGAGUUAUGACAUCUACUAAAAAUAUACAGAUUUAAAAUACAUAAAUAUUUAAAUUUCUAAUGCGAAUUACAAAAUUAAACUUUAAAACUAAAAUAAACCAAAAGUAAAACAUCAUUGUAAUAAAUUUUCGAUAACAAAAAUCUAACAACAAAUUACAUCAACUAAUCUUGAUUUCAUAUACCAUCGUUCACUUCAUUUUCUUCGGGUGACAUAGUGAAAGUUUUUAUCAAAAUCUACAAAAAAAAUAACAAAAAAUUAAAUUAAAUUAAAUUAUUUAUUGGUGCUACCAAUGGUUCAGCCAAUAAUCGAAUUUCGGACUUUAAUGGGUUUUCUUGGUUUUAUUGGGUUUUAAAAUAUUGGAUGUUUUCCUAAACUCAAACUGGAUUUAUUUUGGAUCAUUGUUUACCGGUUCAACCGUAAGUUCAGUUCCAGUUUUGAAACACUUAUUAAGUGUGACCGAUUCCAUAAUAUUUAGUAUUCAAACAAAACAUCAAUUAUAAAAUUCUAUAUACCAAUAAUCCGCGACGACGACCUAGUAUACUAGAAAAGACUUCGAAAAUCCUAUACAGGAAAUUUAAUUUUAUACUAGAAUUUGAACCCGCGCGUCCGCGCGUAUAUAUCUUUAUUUAAAUUAUAAAAUAUAUUUUUAUACCAGUUACUAUUAUUUUAUAUUUAUAUUUUGUAAAAUUUGUUUUGAUGAAAUUUUAAUAAUCAUAUAUUAACCACUUGUUUUUGUAUUUUUAUUUAAAAAUGUAACAACAUACUAAAAUUUUAUUUAGUUUUAAAUAAAUUAGAAAUGCUCAAAAACUUUUCAUGAAUACAUAAUAUAUAUAUAUAUAUAUCUAAAUAUUGAUAAUUUGAACCGAAUGAGUUUCUAAAAAUAUAUAUUAAGGAUUCCAUGUUUUUCUAUAUGAACGAUUGAAUGAAUUUCAUAUAUCAUAUUUAGCACUGGUAUAGUUACAUCAUAUAUGAUUUGGAAAACCAUACACAAAUGUUAUGAACAGACCAAAAUAAAUAAUAGAAGCAUAAUAUGUAGUUAUGGAAAAUUUCGAUAUCAUACAUCUGAAUAUACUACAUUAAUACAUGCAUAUCAAACCUUUUAUUUAUAUUAGCUUUCCUUAAAAUGUAUAUACGUAUAAAAAAUGUCUCCAUUAGUAUUCUCUUAUUAAACUAUAACAAACCUAACUUCCUAAAUC